UACGAAGGGUGCAAACGUUGCUCGGAAUCAUUGGGCGUAAAGCGCACGUAGGCGGCCUUUUAAGUCGGAUGUGAAAUCCCUCGGCUCAACCGAGGACGUGCAUUCGAAACUGGCAAGCUCGAGUAUGGAAGAGGGUCGCGGAAUUCCCGGUGUAGAGGUGAAAUUCGUAGAUAUCGGGAGGAACACCAGUGGCGAAGGCGGCGAACUGGGCCAAUACUGACGCUGAGGUGCGAAAGCGUGGGGAGCAAACAGG
rnacentral:rRNA from 1 species